rnacentral:lncRNA from 1 species
CUCAUUUUAAAAUUACACAUAAAAAAGUAAUAAAAGACACAUAAGAAAUCAAUAUUAAAAAUAUAUAUAAAAUAUAAAUAACAUUUGAAAAAACACUUCCACCCCUUCCCCCUAAAAGAGAAACGAUGAAGAGCAGCAACAAUAACGAUAAAGAGCAUCAACAAUGGAGAAAUCUCUCCAUUUUUUUAAUGUUCGUCGAUUUUUCCUCUUCAUUGAUCUCAUCCGCAACGACAAUGACCCAAAUUUCCUCCAUCUUCAUUAGUGACCAUCUUUCUUUUUCAUUCACUACAAUCGAAA